GCAGCAACAAGUUGUGCUUUAGUUCACAAGUGUGAGUGUGUGUACUGUCCCUUUGCCCCGGUUCUCACACUCCUUUGUGAAAGUUAGUCCCUGCAGAUGGAAUGUCAUGCAAAGCCUGGAGAUAUUUUGCUUCUCUUUCUGCUGCUGCUGGCUCGUUCAGACCCCUCCCCUUCACACACUCCCCCUCCUCUCCUCUCUCUUCUUCUGUUGUCUUUGCAGCUGAUACACAUGGCUCUGACCUCUGGCAUUCAGUAGUCUUCCUCAUGCACAGGCUAUGACCUCAGUAUGAUAAACUCCUCUACCAAGACUCCAGCUCAGGAGUCUGUUUAGGUCUCUAUCAUGUGUUGAUAUGCUUCCCAGUUUGUAAUCAAUCAUUAAUCUGAACAGAGAGAGAAGUUGAAGUUCAAGUCUGCAAACAUUUCCUCUUCUCAAGUUAUGUAACACAAGUUUUACCCCAUUGCUGUUCAAGUUUAUCGUCUUUUAAGGCAAAAUCUGAAGGAUCUGGAACUUCAAAUUUGUUCCAGAUGUGGGCUUCUGUUUCAUAUGCCGGCUCAAGUAUGUUGAAAACCCACAAACCAUGUUAUAAGUCUCCAAAGAUGAUCAACCAGGAGUGAUCCAAACUUUAUUUUUAGCAUUGUGCAACAGAUGUUUGCCUCUGAAAUUACUGAUCUGCACCAUAACACCGUUCAUAGCCAGUCUUGGAGUGAAAAUCCUCAUCAGAGGCAAACUUUCCCACAAGUUUUUCAGUAACAGCUCCACAGGUAACAGGUUCAAAUUGAGUUUAGCGACAAAAAUGUGUUGUUUUCCUGCUGAACUCAAACAACACGGCUCUCUUGUAGACUGAGGACCAUAAAAGCGGCAAAAAUAGAAGAGUUUUAUUUACAUGGUGAAGAAUGUCACUGUGCCAUUUGGCGCUCAGACUGUCGUUCACACUUUCUUUCCGUGUGUAUCAAAACUGUCUAUUUUUGAAUCAGUGCCGGUUAUUGUGUUCAGGUCUCACUUAAAAGAUUUCUCAUCUUUUGAAGUGCAUCACUGGUGGAACCAAGAUUUUUUCAAGGCGAUUAAAGUCCGAACUAAAUAACUAUAAUAAAGUCAAGAAAACAUUUGGAAAAUUGUCGAAAUUGAUUAGAAAAAUGGCUAAAUUUGGAUCACAGAGUCUACAAAGUCAAAGCAGUUUGCAGAAUGUGGCUAACACUAGCAGACCAAGAAAGUUAAGGUCCUUACACACCAGGCGCGAAUUCGCCAGGCGAAUUAUUUGCCUUUUUUAAAAACAGCAUAAAGUCAAUGCAAGCUUCCACACUGGCUGUGAUUUUUCCGCGGGCCGAAAAGCAUCUUUUAUUUUUUCGCUCAUGUGUCGAAUUUUUCAGAGAUUCGCAGGCGAAUAUCUGGACCUGCUAGACCUCUGGCCAAUCAAAAGUCAAGUUGUUGAUGACGUCACAGACUAGUGCUGGACGAUAAUUCGAUAACAAUAUAUAUCGAUCGAUAGACGUGUGCUGCGAUAGAAAAAAAACGGGUCGAUAAAAAGUUCGAUAGAAAAACACAGUUUCCCUUUCUUUUUCAUCAUAGCCUAUCAUGUAGCUUUUACUACAGUCAUUACUUCCUCCCAACCAAUCACAAACGCAGACCCUGGUACGCUACGGCACCAAGCCCAGCCCCUAUCAAACCACAACAGACAGCACGUGUAUUAGAAAAAAUGAUACAGCAAGGAGAGGCGGAGGACAUUGUCAGUAGUUCACCAGCAUGGCAAUGUUUUGGUUUUUAGAAGUAUGACAAAAAGCGAACAGCGGUCGUUUGCAAAAUUUGCAGAGAAUUAGUAAAAACCAAGUCUGGUAACACAACCAACUUGUUUUACCAUCUAAACCGGUCGCACCCGCAGGAGUACGAGCUGUGUCGGCCGCGCCGCGGCUCCACGUCGUCGGAGGAGGAAUCCUCUGGAACCGCUGCCAGCACCAGCACAAAGCAAGUGAAGCAGACCAAACUGGACUUCGUUUCUUGCCAAAAUACGACAAAGCGUCCGAGCGGCAUAAGGACAUCACUCAUGCAGUAACAUGCUGCAUAGCGAGGGACAUACUGCCAAUAACUACCGUUGAAAAGCCUGGCUUCGACCAGCUUCUAGCCACUCUCGACCCGCGAUAUGAAGUGCCCGGCCGCAAGUAUUUCUCAAA